rnacentral:rRNA from 1 species
GAUUAACGCUGGCGGCGUGCAUAACACAUGCAAGUCGAACGAUGAAACUUAACUGAUUUCUUCGGAAUGAUUUUAAGUGGAUUAGUGGCGGACGGGUGAGUAACGCGUGAGUAACCUGCCUUGGAGAAGGGGAUAGCCUUUGGAAACGAAGAAUAAUACCCUAUGAUAUGAUAAUAUCUCAUGAUAUUAUCAUCAAAGAUUUAUCGCUCUAAGAUGGGCUUGCGUCUGAUUAGUUAGUUGGUGAGGUAACAGCUCACCAAGGCAGCGAUCAGUAGCCGGCUUGAGAGAGUGUACGGCCCCAUUGGGACUGAGACACGGCCCAGACUCCUACGGGAGGCAGCAGUGGGGAAUUUUGCACAAUGGGGGAAACCCUGAUGCAGCGACGCCGCGUGAUUUAGAAGGCCUUCGGGUUGUAAAAAUCUUUUGUAUGGGAAGAAAAUGACAGUACCAUACGAAUAAGGACCGGCUAAUUACGUG